ACGUACACUCCUGCGGGAGGCAGCAGUGGGGAAUUUUGGACAAUGGGCGAAAGCCUGAUCCAGCCAUGCCGCGUGCAGGAUGAAGGCCUUCGGGUUGUAAACUGCUUUUGUACGGAACGAAACGGCCUUUUCUAAUAAAGAGGGCUAAUGACGGUACCGUAAGAAUAAGCACCGGCUAACUACGUGCCAGCAGCCGCGGUAAUACGUAGGGUGCAAGCGUUAAUCGGAAUUACUGGGCGUAAAGCGUGCGCAGGCGGUUAUGUAAGACAGUUGUGAAAUCCCCGGGCUCAACCUGGGAACUGCAUCUGUGACUGCAUAGCUAGAGUACGGUAGAGGGGGAUGGAAUUCCGCGUGUAGCAGUGAAAUGCGUAGAUAUGCGGAGGAACACCGAUGGCGAAGGCAAUCCCCUGGACCUGUACUGACGCUCAUGCACGAAAGCGUGGGGAGCAAACAGGAUUAGAAACCCUAGUAGUCCCAUGA
rnacentral:rRNA from 1 species